UCCGUAGGUGGAUAAUUAAGUCAGAGGUGAAAUCCUGCAGCUCAACUGUAGAAUUGCCUAUGAUACUGGUUAUCUUGAGUCAUUAUGAAGUGGUUAGAAUGUGUAGUGUAGCGGUGAAAUGCAUAGAUAUUACACAGAAUACCGAUUGCGAAGGCAGAUCACUAAUAAUGUACUGACACUGAGGGACGAAAGCGUGGGGAGCGAACAGGAUUAGAUACCCUGGUAGUCC
rnacentral:rRNA from 1 species